CGCUCGGCUGCUCGCCUUCCCUUUGUGUCCGCGCCCGUCGCCGGCGCGUCACAAAGACCCCGGCCCACCCGAUACCUCCUAAAGACUUCUGUGAAUGGGGCCUAUAGAAACGGGCAAUCUGAUCAAUACAACAAGUGCCACCUCAGCAUGCUUCACUUCAGACUGUGUCCAGAGACUUCAGGUGUGGAAUGACAACCCUUCAGCUUCAUCACUCGGCCACCAGGUUCUGGAUGCCAGCAAGAUGCCGACCAGACUUCCCUGGACAGACGACCCCAUCAAUGUGUCCUGGAGCUCCGCUUCCCCAGAGCCCCACCCUACUAGGGAAAGAGAGGAGCAGGCUGGGAGUAUGGAUCGACCUGUCAAAGCCCAUGUUUAGUGGGCAAGCAAUUACAGAAGCCAGACCUUCCACCUUCUGCAGUCCACAACGAUCCUGGAUCCAUACUCCCAGAGAGAUAAAGAAUGGGAAGGCUUUCAGGGGAGGGGAUAGGAUAUGGAGAUCGGGUUAUGGGAAUUGUGCAGAAUUGUACCCCUCUUAUUCUAUGGUUUUGUUAAUGUCUCCUUUCCUAAAUAAAAAAAAAAAGAAAGAAAGAAACAGGCAAUCUGGGAUGUGAGGGCCAUCUGGCUGCGACAUCUGUCACUGAUCACCAGGGUUGAUUCGGCUGAUCUGGCUGGCUAAGCGGGUGUCCCCUUCCUCCCUCACCACUCCAUGUGCGUCCUGUCUCUCCUG